AAGGGGCGGCCGCGGCCUGAGAUGUACCCUUUGAACCUGACCCGGAUAAUGCCGGCGUAGGAAUAGGGUC
rnacentral:ncRNA from 1 species